CAGAGAGAGUUGAAAAACUCCCUAAACCCACUGUUAACUUACCUUGAGUUGCUUCGGCAGGCCGUCCCAGGGCGGGAUGCUUGGCCUGUAAAGGCGCCUGCCGGAGGACACGCAAACUCUGUUUAUAGUUGGCUGUCUGAGUGAAAACAAAUAAAUCA
rnacentral:misc_RNA from 1 species